AUGCCACCACGUUCUAGAGCGGUCAGAAGAGCAGUUUCCGGUUUUGGCAAGCGCGCCUGCGCACUAGCUCUGACUUUAUUGGUUCGAACCGCCUCGUGCGAUGCGCGUCACGGCGACGUGCAGUCGUGGGGGCGGGAAGACGCGGCGGCGGCGGUCGCGGCGGCGCGAGCACGAUCCCAGACGCGGUAUCGCGGCGGCGGCAGCGGCGCGGCUACCCCGGGUUCGGUCCCCUCCCUCCUCCGCUCCCCCCUCCUCCCCCUCCCCUCAGCUCUGGUUCCAGAGGAGUCCGAGACGCGCGGCGAGGCGGCGACAAGCUCUGGCAUUCAAGGGAGAGGAUUGCUGUCUCUGACUGUGCCUCUGAGCUGGCUACGGAGACUGGUGCUGGCUCCCCUCCUCCCCAGGUGCGUGCACAGGGUGGCUCCAGUCUGGAGAAAGCCCUGCCACCCUAGAAUGAGGUAGAAAUUGGUUCCUUCUUUUUUUUUUUCUGUUCCCAGGUCUGUGGUUUUUCUCUUGUCCAAAUACAGUCCUACUUUUCCACAGCCUCCCUUUCUCUUCCUUUUGUCUUUCCACCCAGGGGAAACCUCCCGUCUGUGCCUGUGCCACCCGUUUUAUCUCCCUAGUUUGCAAUCACACACCUGUAGCCUGCCUAGUUGUCCCAUGGGUCCCUGGAGAUGUUUCUGUCACUGUAGCCCAGAUUCCUGGAAUUCCCAGUCUUCUGGCCUUAAUACUGCUGUGUUUGAGGGAUGAGGGAACUUUGGGUCCCCCUACUUCUCCACCAUGUUGACUCCUCCCCUAGAGAUUAUAGCAAUUCUAAAGGCAUUUGCAAAGUACAACUCUUAGAGAAUCAUUAAAAAAUACUGCUUGUGAAAAGAGAUUUAUGACAGCCCCAAAUUUGUCAAGUGGCAUUGGCAGCCAAUAGCUCAAAUUCUGUGAAACAUCUAACUCAGAUAUCCACAUACUGUUAUUGGUAGGUGUUAUUUUGAAUUGUUAAAACUAAAAAUUGAUCAUUUUUGGUGAUUUCUAUCUGUAUAAAGGUCUGGCUUAAGAGAGCUGUAUGUGAUGAAUAGGCUAUACUAUGUACAAAAGUUAUAUAUAUAAAAUAAUGUAACUUUUUUUAUUACAUUAAAAAUGUGACCUUUGGGGUUGUCAUUUCAUGAUCAGUCUUUUAAUUGUUUCAGACUCAGAGGUUAUAGGACAGUUUAUAUAAAAUAUGGAAAGGUGGGGUGCCUGGGUGGCUCAUUUGAGUGUCAGACUCUUGACCUUGGCU
rnacentral:lncRNA from 1 species